GGGAGAGACCCCUCUGGUGUGGAAAAAGACCAGAGGUGGCUUGAGAGGAAGAAGCAUAAUAAAAUCAUGGAGAAGGGUGACAGGGUUGAAGCAACAGGAUGAGAGAUCUCAAGCACGCUGCUAAAUGUUGUGGCCUGACAAAACUACAUGGCUUCCUUUAUCAAGACAGCUGUGUUUUUACAUAAAUAAUCUUAAUUUGGCCUGCAGAAGGAUUACGCCUGACACUCAAAUGUACUAACUUGAAAGGUCACCUUGACUUCCCCAAGGAGUUUACUUCAAGGCAUUCAGGAUGCCAGACCAGAAAGCCUCACAGACUGAGGCACUGAUUGCUUGGAUAAACCUUGUGAAAAGUUGGUGGAUGCAGUAUGACUGAGCAAAAGUACUUGACUUAUCAAAAACACCAUCAGUUUGAAUAGAGCUAUAAAGAUAACCAAAACAUAUCCUGCUUUCCUCAAUUGCUUUUCAGAAGUGUUUGAGCAUUCUGUGAUACAAUUCAACUCUAAAUUUUAUAUGUGGCUCUUCAGUUCCUACAGGACGCAGGAGAGGUGGUAGCUUUCCUCUAGUAUGAGGAAGUUAAUCCUGAAUAUUGUCUCCAGCAAAAUUACAAGAGCCUGAAAGGCAGGCAGCUUUCCCUGAAGCUUGGAUUUCAUGAAUAUCAUCUGAGUGCACUAAGGGGCCUUCCUGGCCCUGACAAGCUGCACAGAGGACUCUACCCCACCCCUGCCUGAGGUCCCAGGAGGUCCCUUUCAAGUAACCUUGGGCCUUCAGUCCUACUGCCUCUCUGGUGUAGGAGCAGCCUCCAGCUCAGCCAUGGACCCUGUGGACUGGCUUCGGACUUGUUUUGUCGCUACUGACCUGCCCAGUGAUCCCCAUCUACCCUCACCAGACUUGGCCCUGCCCAGCAGAACUGACCAUCCAGCUUGACCUUGGACCUGCCCCACCACCAUGAACUGGCCUGAUGAGCGGCAGUCCCAGCUGAAGCUGGCACAGGUGUCUCGCUCAGGCACCGCAGGGCUGGUGAAGCCCUGUAGCUGCUGGCCAUCUCAUUGCGCUCACCUCCUGCCUCUCCAUACCCUAGGCAGCCCCGGCCCUCGCUGCACCAUGGCCUUUCACUGAAGAACACUUCUAGAUAACUUCAGGGGUUUUUGAUCUGGAUAAAAAGAGCACCAAAAUUGCAAGCUAGGAUCUCAAAAGUUAAGAACUAGUAGAAUCAAGUUUGCUAGAGUGGGGUCCCCUUGUGAAAUGCAGACUGUCCCCCAUGGGCACACAUUGCGGGGUCGGGGGGGUAUUAGCAGUGGCUGUGAACAAGCAUGAGCACCCAAAGCAGCAUAGCUGUGAUGGUGUGAGGUGCCCUAGCAGGUUAAUUUAUUUUGCUGAAGGAUAAUAUGAUAAUAGCUUAACUGACUUGCUGAAACACUAUAGCAGGAAAUUUGAGACACAAAUAAGGACAGAAUUCACUUUUCCAAGGUAGCGUUCAUUCGUUAGAGCUGCUUUUUCUUCUUGCACUGACUCAUUUAUUUUGUUUUCUCUCUCUUAGAAAUGAGUACAAGGGCGAUACUUCAUACAGCUUAUUAAGAGCACAAGUCCUUUUUAUUCCCACAGGACAACUAAUGUUCUAAUACUAUAUGGUUUAUGGCAAUAAACUGCUGUAUUCAUACUCACAGAAACGCCAAAACCCAUCUAACUUGUGAGUGCUAUACUUUGUGAUCUGCAUUAGAAGAACAUGAAUACAAUGCGGGAGUCCAAAUGUGAGUACAUACUCAUGGUGUUUGAAAUAGUCAUAUAUAGGCAUAUAUAUAUACCUCUGUGUAUGAGUGCAUGUGUGUGUGUGUGUAUCAGCAGUGAGUGCAUACGUGUGCUGCAUCAGCAGUACAAAGAAGUCGUUACUCACAGCUGUGAAAUCAGAUGGAUAUAAUAUGUUACUUAUAUUUUAUUAAGUUCCAUUUUAUAUGUGUGCGUUACAGGUAACUAGCUACCAUAUUAAAAAAAAGCAAGACACUAAAAUGGCAGUAAAACACACUUAGCUGGAGGGCUUAGGAUUGGGGAUAGUAGAGUGAGGGAGGCGGGGCGAGAGAGAGAGAAGUUGACAGGCUAAAGCAAACGUACAUGGAAAUGUCUACAAAUUGUUAUAUCACAUCUCUACACAGGCCUGUGAUUCAUGAAUGCUGGAGUUCGUUGCAUGGUGUGCAGGUGAUACAUUCAAAUAACUUGGAGGCUUUUUGUAUAUGUUUACUUUACCCUUUGUCACUACUUUCCCUUACUAUCUCAUGAUUUUCAGUCAUUCUCCUCUUCCUGCUUUUUCCUCAUCUCUGUACAGGCUUUUUUCCUUCUUCCUGCAGCCUGGACACUAGUAGGAAGGAGAUGAGCACCUAAGUCACAGGGUUCUUUAUGAACUAGAAAGAGCAGUUGCAGGAUCAGUCCAAAUCAUGAGAGAAUCUUUAGAUAUCUUUUUCUUCUGAAGUCUAGUGUUCUACUGAGCAUUUUCUGGCUAGAAGAUUUGACCGAAUUACAGUUUGGAUAAUUUUGAUGAUGGAAGCAGUAUAUGACUACCUGGGACCUGGAAGAUGCUUCUGCCAAAUUUUAUGUUUGUGGUCCACAGUUUGGAGACACUAGAAUUCAUCGGUGAAACAUUUGCAAGAGUUUUG